rnacentral:rRNA from 1 species
UGGGGAAUUUUGGACAAUGGGCGAAAGCCUGAUCCAGCAAUGCCGCGUGUGUGAAGAAGGCCUUCGGGUUGUAAAGCACUUUUGUCCGGAAAGAAAUCCUUGGCUCUAAUACAGUCGGGGGAUGACGGUACCGGAAGAAUAAGCACCGGCUAACUACGUGCCAGCAGCCGCGGUAAUACGUAGGGUGCAAGCGUUAAUCGGAAUUACUGGGCGUAAAGCGUGCGCAGGCGGUUUGCUAAGACCGAUGUGAAAUCCCCGGGCUCAACCUGGGAACUGCAUUGGUGACUGGCAGGCUAGAGUAUGGCAGAGGGGGGUAGAAUUCCACGUGUAGCAGUGAAAUGCGUAGAGAUGUGGAGGAAUACCGAUGGCGAAGGCAGCCCCCUGGGCCAAUACUGACGCUCAUGCACGAAAGCGUGGGGAGCAAACAGGAUUAGAUACCCUGGUAGUCCACGCCCUAAACGAUGUCAACUAGUUGUUGGGGAUUCAUUUCCUUAGUAACGUAGCUAACGCGUGAAGUUGACCGCCUGGGGAGUACGGUCGCAAGAUUAAAACUUAAAUGAAUUGACGGGGUCAAGCUGUUUCCU